UACGAAGGGGGCUAGCGUUGCUCGGAAUCACUGGGCGUAAAGCGCACGUAGGCGGAUUGCUAAGUCAGGGGUGAAAUCCUGGAGCUCAACUCCAGAACUGCCUUUGAUACUGGCGAUCUCGAGUCCGGGAGAGGUGAGUGGAACUGCGAGUGUAGAGGUGAAAAUUCGUAGAUAUUCGCAAGAACACCAGUGGCGAAGGCGGCUCACUGGCCCGAUACUGACGCUUGAGGCACGAAAGCGUGGGGAGCAAACAGGG
rnacentral:rRNA from 1 species